UACGAAGGGGUCUAGCGUUGUUCGGAAUCAUUGGGCGUAAAGCGCACGUAGGCGGCUUGCUAAGUCAGGUGUGAAAUCCCGGGGCUCAACCUCGGAACUGCCUUUGAUACUGACAAUCUCGAGUCCGGAAGAGGUGGGUGGAAUUCCUAGUGUAGAGGUGAAAUUCGUAGAUAUUAGGAAGAACACCAGUGGCGAAGGCGGCCCACUGGUCCGGUACUGACGCUGAGGUGCGAAAGCGUGGGGAGCAAACAGG
rnacentral:rRNA from 1 species